UGAAACAUCUCUAAGGAAGUAUUGACGAAAAUGCUAAAAGCCACUACAAUAAGAAAUUAAAUGAAUUCUACCAAGAGGACAUAGACACAAAUCUUUUUGAAGAUGAAGUGAAACAUUUAAUUCAUUUUCUCAAAAAUGAUGAGGCACCACCGCAUAGAGAGCUGCUAUCAAAAUGUAAUCAAGCUACAAGAAGUCUGAUGUAGUGAGAUACUCUGCUGGUGCUAGGAAACUGAGCGAGUCAUUGAUGCAAGAAAGGAUCCAGGUCUGGUCCUGCUAUAUAGUACAACAUUCAGAUGGUAAUAACCUAUACAAAGGCCUUCCUACCAAGUUCUGGGAUUACAGUAGAACAAGUGCUGAAGUCUAGGAGCUUGUUGUUAUGGCUAUUUUUGUUCACCAACCCUUUG